rnacentral:rRNA from 1 species
CGGCAACAGCUCAAAUUUGAAAUCUGGCCCCUCGGGGUCCGAGUUGUAAUUUGUAGAGGAUGCUUUUGGUGAGGUGCCGCCCGAGUUCCCUGGAACGGGACGCCAUAGAGGGUGAGAGCCCCGUCUGGUCGGAUACCGCGUCUCUGUAAAGCUCCUUCGAC